CGCGUGGGAACGUACCUUUUGGUUCGGAACAACACAGGGAAACUUGUGCUAAUACCGGAUAAGCCCUUACGGGGAAAGAUUUAUCGCCGAAAGAUCGGCCCGCGUCUGAUUAGCUAGUUGGUGAGGUAACGGCUCACCAAGGCGACGAUCAGUAGCUGGUCUGAGAGGAUGAUCAGCCACAUUGGGACUGAGACACGGCCCAA
rnacentral:rRNA from 1 species